GACAUGGAGAGAAGUUGCCAGCUAUCAACAGAGAACAUGAUCUAGGACUUCCAGCCUUCAGAACUGUUAGUCUGCAGAACUGAAAAGAAUAUCAUAGGAUUGGAGGCAAUGACACUUGAGACUGGAAAGUAAACUGGAAAGCCAUGAGUGCCUUUUCAAGAAAAAGUUGGACUUCAAACUAAAUUCCAAGCCAUUCACAUAGAGAGUAUUAUGCCCACGGCAUUACUACAUUUGACACAGCAAAAGCUGCUACAGUAGAAUUAGUGAUAUUACAUUUGACCUAAUCAAAGAACAGAGUCUACCAUUGUACCAGGAGCUCAUCACAUCAUAAUUAUCAGAAAAGAGACAACAGCUGAGGUGGAAGAGAAGUCACUAAUAGAAGGCACUGAAAAACUGGCUUCCUACAUGGCAGGAAAGUUUUGUUGACAUCUCAGAGACACCUUGGAGGGGUCUAUAAUGGGGAAACUGUUUCCCAACAUUAAUAGAAG